rnacentral:rRNA from 1 species
UACCACAUCCAAGGAAGGCAGCAGGCGCGCAAAUUACCCACUCCCGGCACGGGGAGGUAGUGACGAAAAAUAACAAUACGGGACUCUUUUGAGACCCCGUAAUUGGAAUGAGUACACUCUAAAUCCUUUAACGAGGAUCUAUUGGAGGGCAAGUCUGGUGCCAGCAGCCGCGGUAAUUCCAGCUCCAAUAGCGUAUAUUAAAGUUGUUGCGGUUAAAAAGCUCGUAGUUGGAUCUCAGUUCCAGACGGGCGGUCCGCCUAACGGUGGUUACUGCCUGGCCUGAACAGCCAGCCGGUUUCCCUAGAUGAUCUUCACCGGUUGUCUUGGGUGACCGGCACGUUUACUUUGAAAAAAUUAGAGUGCUCAAAGCAGGCGUGUAGCCUGAAUAAUGGUGCAUGGAAUAAUGGAAUAGGACUUCGUUUCUAUUUUGUUGGUUUUCGGAACACGAGGUAAUGAUUAAGAGGGACAGACGGGGGCAUUCGUAUUGCGACGCUAGAGGUGAAAUUCUUGGACCGUCGCAAGACGAAC